UGCAAAGCCAGUGCUCUCAACUUCUAUCCAGAAGCACAAAAUCAGAUGCAAACUGAAACCAAAUAGGUACACAGAAUGAAUGGAUCCAGCUGGGGGCAAUAAAGGGAGGGUUAUAAAACCGGAAAGCGGAUGCCCCAUAUAAAGGGAUAGUCCCUGUUUGGCUCCAACUGAUCAAUCAUUUCUAAAAAGAAUGGGCACAUCGCAGAGCCAUGUCUUUGGUUUUCAAAGAGAGGCAGAAAUCCUGCAUUUUUACAUACGAAUUUCCUGAUUUUUAAGUGCAAGCUAUAAGUCCAUCAAAACAGUUCUGGUUUUCAAGCCAACCUUGUAAGACCACAGGGCUAUGGCCUGUGCUCUUCUCUAAGUCCUCUUGGUAAAUCACAGAAGUGGCUCAGCCCGUUUGUAAAAGCCACUGAAGAUCUUCCCAUCUACUUCAGAGACUGACAACAUGAUACAAGCCCUCAAGUGAGUUACAGCGAAGGUGACCAACCCAUCUUCAACUGCCUGGAACUUUCCUGAUUUCAAAAUGAAGAGAUCAACUAAAUUUUGAAGCGGUGACCCUUGAAUGUUUCUAGAAGAUGUCUUCCUCUAAAGUCAUUUGAAAUGCUUCACAGAAGAUAGCAAGAUUUGGAAGAAGAGGCAAAACAUUUCCUGUAAAUACCAUCGCUGGGAUGAAUUCUCACUCUCCUGUCCCUCCAUCAAACAGAAAUCUAUAUUGUGCCUUGAGUUGAGCUCCAGAGAAAUUAUCAAUAUUCACACAUCUGGCACAAAUCUGUUGGAAGAAAAAAAAACCAUCAUGCCAUCUGUAUUUCUUCAAUCGUUUUAUAGCACAGCUCCAGUCUCUGGCCAUCAUUUUGUCACUCGGUCUUGUAAAUAUAAAGUUAUAUUACUUUUUGGCUUGUUUGAGGACACCGUUCAUCAUAAGGGGAGGAUGAAGAGAUGAUGUCACUGCCGGGAAAAAAAAAAACAAAACACAACAACUUCGCCUUUCUCAAUCCCCCACCUUCCCCAGAGUGUGGAGGAGCCAAAUUUCAUCUAGUUUGGCACAGUUGUAGGAAUUAACAUGACUGAAAUGUAUGCCAGAUUUCAAAACAAUUUCUAACAGUUUCUGUGAGACCGUGUAAGCAACUGAAAAUUGACAUGUUGUGUUGUGCCCGAGUCAGCCAACUGCUGUCACUGCAUAAUUAGAUUUUCCUGCAUGAGAGGAAAAAGUGUUCCCUUAAAAAAUUAUGAAAUAAAGCAGAAGCUAAUAUAAAAUACAAGUGGGCCCGUUAUUCACAUAGAGGUAGCCUUCCGCCAAAGAAUGACUUUGGACACACACACACGUGCACGCACACACACUCACACACACACAACUCCAGGAGAGGCUGAUGGCCCUGGAUUUCUGCGCUUUACAUGCAAGAAAUGCUCUUUGCAAAGGGAAGAGGAUUUACGGCACAGGCCAGAUGGAAGUAGGCCCACUUGGCUGCCCAAGGAAUGGCUGAAACCCAGAAGCAAGAACAGAUUUGGAGCUAAUGAAUGUGCGGUUCCUUCCUUCUGAUAUGGAAUAAUAGAUGUGGCAGAGUAUGCCAGGUGCCCCCAAUACUUAUUCUCCCCUUGUCCAACAGUAACAGUAGUUUUUGUUUGGCACAAAGGAGCCCAGCUAAAGGCUAUAUUCCCCAGGCUCCCCUGCACCUCGAUAUAACCAUAUAACUAAGUUCUGGCGAAUGAGGUGUGAGAGGAAGUGGAAGUUUCCAGAUUCCAUGUCGUGUCCUUAACAGGAAAGGAGGGGUUCCCUCCGCUUUCUCCCCUCCCGUCUUCCUGAGGGUGGGAGCGCAGGCAUCUUUGUCCAGGAGGAUGAGAUCUAUACCAUGUGGACAAGAGCUG
rnacentral:lncRNA from 10 species